GAUGAACGCUGGCGGCGUGCCUAAUACAUGCAAGUCGAGCGAACAGACGAGGAGCUUGCUCCUCUGACGUUAGCGGCGGACGGGUGAGUAACACGUGGAUAACCUACCUAUAAGACUGGGAUAACUUCGGGAAACCGGAGCUAAUACCGGAUAAUAUAUUGAACCGCAUUGUUCAAUAGUGAAAGACGGUUUUGCUGUCACUUAUAGAUGGAUCCGCGCCUCAUUAGCUAGUUGGUAAGGUAACGGCUUACCAAGGCAACGAUGCGUAGACGACCUGAGAGGGUGAUCGGCCACACUGGAACUGAGACACGGUCCAGACUACUACGGGAGGCAGCAGUAGGGAAUCUUCCGCAAUGGGCGAAAGCCUGACGGAGCAACGCCGCGUGAGUGAUGAAGGUCUUCGGAUCGUAAAACUCUGUUAUUAGGGAAGAACAAAUGUGUAAGUAACUAUGCACGUCUUGACGGAACCUAAUCAGAAAGCCACGGCUAACUACGUG
rnacentral:rRNA from 1 species